GGCUCUUGCAUCUUACCACUGCUGUGAGAACAUGGCUGGACAGCCUUCUGAAGGAUGAGAGGCACACGGAGCAGAGCCAAGUUUCUCCCGUCACCCCAUCCAAAUUCAACUACAUCAGCCAAGGUCAGCCAACAUCAGCCAGCAAUGAUGGAACCCCCCAGACAUGUAAGUGAAUCCAACCAAGAGCAGCAGGGCUGCCUAGCCAACCUACAGCUGACCCCAGAGGAGUGAGCAAUAAAUGUGUUCUGACGUUAGCCAGUGAGGUUCUCUGGGUUUUGUUAGGCAGUUUUAUUGUAGGAAUAGGUAACUAAUUCAGGCCCUAUCAGAACAAACAGUCUGGGUCUAUCUGGGAAGACUUCCUGGAGGAGGUAAAGCAAAUUGUUUUGUUGUUGUUGUUGUUGUUAAGUAAGUAUUUUAUUUUACCUAUUUUUUAAUUUUUUUUAUUUCCAUAGGUUAUUAGGGAACACGUUGGUGUUUAGUUACAUGAGUAAGUUCUUUAGUGGUGAUUUGUGAGAUUUUGGUGUACCCAUCACCCAAGCAGUAUAUACUGCACCCAGUUUGUAGUCUUUUAUCCCUCACCCCCUUUCCAAACUUUCCCCCUGAGUCCCCAAAGCCCAUUGUGUCAUUCUUAUGCCUUUGCCUCCCUAUAGCUUAGCUCCCACUUGAGUUUUAAUAGUGAGUGUGAAGUGGCCAGAGGGAUAACAAUGGGAGGGCAAAAGAGAAGGAUGUACAAAAGUCCAUAGGCUUGAGAGAACUUAGUUCAGGAAGCUGGGACCAUUGCUCAGUGUGGCCAGAACCAAGGGUGGUCCCUGGAGGGGGAUGGGAUGGAGAGAGAAACCUGCCCCCAUCCUGAGGGUCUUGAAUGCGAGGCUAAGGCAUUUUUAGAAAAUAGGGAGCCAUGGCAGGUUUUCAGUGAGGCUGGCCUUCUAGAAUGAUCAUCACAUGGCCAGGGCAGAGGGUGGAUUAGAGCCAGCAAGAGUUGAAGUUGAGGCUACAGUGCAGGUGAGUGAGAAUGAUGGCCUAGACCCUGGCUGGGAUGGAGACCCCGUGAGAGCCAUUUGAGGGACAAUGACCCCACAGCGGGUCCAGGUGGCUGGUGCCGCCUUUACAGAAUAUUCCCCCAUUCCCGCCUUGUCUCAACUGGGUCGUGGAACUCGUGGCCUGGGUCAAACAUACCCCUCACUGUGGCCAAUUAAUUUCACCUGGCCAUCAAUUUGUAAAGAUUUACUAAUCAGUAAGAGCUGGGCAAUAUCAUGUAAGGCUCCAAGUGCAGAGGGUGCAAUGAACUGCACGGGAUGCUUGCAAGGUUAUUGUAUUGAUAAGAACCCUGAUUUACCUCCUGUGUUAUUGUGCGUUACCUGUGACUAAAUGCAUCCUUUCAUAAUCAAUCCACAUUUAAUUACCAUUACAGAUUGAUUAAACGGGAAGGAUGCACUCGGGUGGCAUAAAGGAGGAGGUUUGUAUGAAGGUGCAGUCGACAUCAAUGAAUGGGGCUUCAGCUUCCCACUUGCUGCUCUAUUAACUCCGGCAAGCUUUGCAGGAUCUUUGUAGCCAGGAGAGGGUUGCAAGUUACUGGACUGCUACCUUCUAGCUAUGUCUGUGGCUUCAGGCAAUUCACAAAACCUCUGUGGGUUGCAGUUUCCUCUUCCUUAAAACGAGGGUAGUAAUAUCAACAGCAAAAAAGCAUGAGCUAGUUCUUUCCUUUCAGACCCGCUGGGAGAUAGUCACCCUCCUACCUUGUCCCCACCCCAGCCUAAAGCCUCUGCAGACAAAGGGCUCUUCUCAGUCCCUGGGGCAAGAAAGAGGAACUCUAUUCCCUCUUCUGGGCUCCCUGUGGCCCAAUCACAAGUCGCACCUUGUAGAGAGUGCAGGACUAGUGCCCUGUAUCAAAAACCUGCCUGGAAGACUUAGCUCUUCUACAUAUAAAAGAAUCUCCAAAGAUUCAUCAUCAUCUAAUAUUUAUUCCAGAGACUGGAGCAUGCAGAUAAGGUGAGUGUGUGACGGCAGAAAUGCAGAAAAGGUGAGUGUGUGACCGCAGAAAUGCAGAAAGAAUUGACAGUGUCUAAGCCACAAAGUGCCACACUCACAUGGUGUAUUGUGGGUUUGGCUGGGGGACCGAGCAAGAGGAAAAAACCCACUCUAAGAUGAUGGCGUAUUCUGAUGGGAGUUUCUCCAGUGACAGAGGACACUUCUGAGAAUGGCAGCAUUUUAGAGCCUCACAGUCAUCAAAACCUAGAAUCUUAUAGUACUGAGUCUUAGAAUGUUGACUUUAAUAAGAUCUCAAAUUAUAAAACUGAGAGUCAAAUGUCAGAAUCACAGGAUUUCAGGAUUUCAGGGACCUCAACCAUAGUCUUGCCCAAACACCCGAACAGCAUCCAAGUCAUUCUAACAUGUGGGGGCGAAGCCCUCCAGGCAGAGGGAAGAGCAAGUGCAAAGGCCCUGAGGCAGGAGUGUGUGGGAUGUGUUUGAGGAAGAGAAAGACCUUGUUCGACCUCCAUGGGCUGCUAAGAGCCCGAGAUUUUGGGGCAUGUCAGGAAUAAGGAGAGGAUGCUCCCCACAGGGCUGGGCAAUUUGAGGGCAGGUGCCCAGUACACAGUGGGUGCUGAUUAAAAGCCUGCAACAUUCAGUUCAGGGCCCUACAUGGUCAGAGAGAUCCUGACAUUGGGAGAGAUGCCUGGGUGUGAGGAGCCUGACUGGGAGCCAGGUCGGGGAGGGUAGGGAAGGGUCCUGAGGUGUUUCCUUUUGGAGAAGAGAAGGGGGCGCCUUCCAGGGGCCGUUGGUGUAAGGUUUGGGCUGCACAUGGAGGCCCCAGGUGUGGCCCCAGAUCAUAAGGAGGUGGGUCUGGCCAAGUGGAUGGGAAGAUUGCCAAGUCACACAGACCCAAACUCAAGGCCAGGCAAGGUCAAGGACCCCUUGUGUGGCCCUGGGCUACAGGGGGCACCAAGAGAGUAGAGGACAGCCUGACAAAGGGGCUCGGGAUUGUUCAGGAUUUACUUCUGUGACACGUGAACAAGCUCAGAGAGUACCUGCCAGAGGCUGGGGCAAUGCCAGCAUCCUGGGGAUGCUUUUGAAGGACAGUGCUCAUCUAAAUGUGGACAUUCUGGGAGGCUUCAUUUUGGCCAGUAACCUCAGGGUCAUGCUGCAGAGAAACACCACGGGAGGCAGAGGUGGGAGGGCUAAGGGGUGGGGGAGCAUGGAGUCAGGAGAGGCUUUGGAGAGGCGAGGAGAGGGUCACCGAGGGACAUGUGUAUGUGGGCCUCUAGAGGAUUCAGAGAACACUAAUAAAUGUCCACUAACUAAGCACCUCGUCUACUGUGUGCCAGUUUAUGAAUGCAUCCACUUGCAACUUUUCAUACCUACUAUGUGUCUGGCCCCAUGCUGUGACUUGAAAAGACAGCUGGGAUUGAGACAGAUGUGGCCCAUACCUUCAUGGGGCUGUUGCUUGGGUGAAGUAGAUGGAGGCAAAAACCCUUCAAUAAACAAACAGUGAAACUGAUAGAAUGAGGUGUGUGCCACAAAGAAAACCAGAAAGGGCCAAUAUAGAACUUUGCCUCCUCACUGAAUCCUCCAAAGCAUCCUGUAUUUACAAGAUCCUAUUAUAAGCCCAUUUUACAGCUGAGAAAUCUGAGGCCCAGAGAGGUGAGUAACUUGUUCCACGCCCAUGGCUGGAAAGCAGCAGAGGCAGGAUCUAAGCCUGCAACCAGCAGACACAACAGACUGGCUGGUCAGCCCCACCUCACGCCUCUCCCUGAGGACAUGGUGUUGUCAGUGGUGUUGGGAACCCGCCAUCCACCAGGGGGACCACAGAGCAGGCGCUGCCCCGUGCUAAAGGGGCUUUAGAGUCAGCGGAACCUGGGUCUGAAUUCUGCCUCCUUCACUUGCUUGCUGUAUGAUUCUGAGUGUGUUUACGGCAUUUCCCUGUGUCUCAGUUUCCUCCUCUGUAAAACGGGAGUGAUGACCUCUAUCUUGGAGGGCUGUUGCAGGGAUCAAAUAUGAGAAAGAUGUAAAGUGUUUCUAGUCAGUGUUGAAAAUGCUUUUCAGACACAUGGGGCAGGAGUGUUAAAAGAUGUGCUUCAUGUAUUUGAAAAAGGCCUAUGUUCCCCCUCUCUCUGUCUCUCAUUGCUUUCAGAAGCUCUUUCCUUAACCACACACGGGGUGGAAAGAACGCCUUGUCCAGAAGCCGAAGGACACUGAGGCUCUAAACUCCUGCUGUGUGGGCUGCAGCAGGCCACUGCUCUUCUCUGACCCUCAGUUUCUUCAUCUGUAAAACUGGAACAUGAUGCCCCACUGGAAGGCUAUCGUGAGGGCUGGACACGGCGAUGUAAAUUGAGGGCCAAGCGUGGAGCCGGCAUAGAGUGGACACUAAAAUACACCAGGCUGUUUCAUUUGGCAAAAGGGGUUCAAUUCUGUCUUUUAAACUCAUGCACUUUGGCAUAUUUGGCUUCUAAAUAUGCAGUGAGGCAGGAAGAGCAAUGAGUCUGGAAGCCAGAGAUUCUCGUGCAUCCAUUCUCUCCUCUGUCUCAGCUUUGCAUUGUACCUUGGGUGAGCCAUUGCACCUCCCUGACCCUCUGUGUCUUCAUCUACCAGACAGAAAAAAUUACACUUACUCCUAAACCAUAAUGUUUGGCAAGACCCAGUGAACCUCACAAAGCACCCCCAAAAGGCAGGCAGGAUGAGGAGUUCUCCCUGUUGAGCUGUGUGAGCUGCCCAGAUUGAUAUGCCUAGAAGGCACCCCAUUUGGAAGUAAACACAGGCUCCAUUUAAGGAUGCACGGAAGGUUGGAACACUUUAUUCCUGAACACAUUUAUGUAAAAUUAAUUGCAUCACCUGUUCUCUGCAUCUUCUAAUUGCAAAACCAAUUAACUUUAAAAUGCUCAGCACAGUGUGGCCAAGGGAAGGGAAGGCAAAGACCAGGCUGGCUUUGCAAACUCUGUGCCAUUUGUAGUGGCCACAGUGGCCCUAGGAAGUCCCAGCCAUUCCCAUCUGCUGGCCGAGGAGGCCCUGUGGGAUGCUGGGAGACUCUAGGAGAUGAGCAAGACCCUCAGAGUCUGGGGCUGGAAACUUCCUAGCACAAGUGAGCUGAGUGGUCAUGGGCCAGGUGAUGGAGUGGACAUUCCCCAGUGGUGGCCAGAAUGACCCAAUAUCAACUGCCCCUCCACCCAGCACCCCCAUUCCCUUUACCCUGUAUUUUGUUCCCCUCUGCCAUUUUCACUGCCCGACUGGCUGUGUAGCUAUUUGUUUAUCAUGUUUCUCCUCAGUAAAAUGUUGACUCCACAAAGACAUGUCUAUUGCACCUCCUGCUGUGUGCCUGGGACCUAGAACAGUGCCUGGCACAUAGUAGGUGCUCAGACAAAUGAAUGAAUGAAUGAAUGAAUGAAUGAAUGAAUGAAUGAAUGAACUAAUGGACUUCAGCUCAUUGUGAGAUGGGAUUUUCACAGAAUUGAAAUGGUCCCUGGUGGGAUGAACCGUCUUAAGGCAAAGGGUGUUCACUCCACCCCUGCAGCCAUUUGCGAGCCGUUAGGUUGAGGGAACACAGGCACUGGCUGAGGGGAUAUAUUUGUUCUUAAAACCUUUUACCAGGCCCCACGUAUGCACCCCUUUCUGUCUGCUCUGCCCAGAGAUUUUAGGCUCCUCUCUCUCAGGGGAAGGGAGUGAUUUGGUAUCAAUCAACCUUGAGCUCAGCUCAUGUUUCUUAACUAGCUGGUUAACAGCUUACUUCUUUGUGACUCAACUUUCUCAUUUCCUGAGACUUUCAGGGCUGCAAAGAAUGGGGAGAAAAUAUGCUUUGUAAAGGAAAAAUGCACACACACAGCGUUCAUUGACUUCCCCCCGGUUUCCAGCGUCUGUGAAUGCACACGGUACCAGCUAACAGCCACCAGAAGGGGUCUGGCUGCAACCGAGAUUGUGCUGGGAAAGAGGCCCGGGCAGCAGUCUCCAGUAGCCAAAGCACCGGCAUGGCCAUAUUAAAGCAUUCGGUUCCAAGCCCCUCCAGGAGGGAGGUGUGGGCAACAAGGGGCAGCAGUGAGUGGGCAGGUGCGGAGAAUCGUGUACUAAUCCCCCCUCCUCCUUCCAGGAAGCCUCACUCCUCUGCUCGGGCUGCUGUACCACAUUUCAGAGACUAUCUUGAUCUCUCAACACAAGCAGCCGAUGAGAUAUUCACACAUUCAGGGUGGGGAGGAUGAGAUCCAGGUGGCCUUAUGUGAUUCCUUUUCAGUGUGUGAAUGGGCACAUUGGCCUGGAUAGAGAGCCUGCCAGCCCCGCUGCUGGUUCUCUGCAAGGCCUAGAUUUGGCACAGGAGAUGCAGGUACUAUGAGUUCGGGG
rnacentral:lncRNA from 1 species